rnacentral:rRNA from 1 species
CUAGCAAGUCCGACCUUACAAAAAGAAUUUAGCAAGAUCCCCCGAAACCAGGCGAGCUACCUAAAGGCAAUGUGUACGAACUAACCCCUCUCUGUGGCAAAAGAGUGGGAAGACCUUUAGGUAGAGGCAAUAAACCUAACGAGCCCGGAUAUAGCUGGUUGCUUGAGAAAGAAUUUAAGUUCAAAUAAAAGCAAAUAUAUCAGCAAGGAAAAAAUAAGCUUUUAUUAUAAUCAAUCGAGUUACAGCUCGAUUAAUAAAGGAAACAACCUAAAUAAAUGAAUAAAGAUUAUAAUAUUUAAGAAAAUGAGUCCGGUAGGCCUAAAAGCAGCCACCUAAACAGCGUCAAAGCUUAACUCAAAAUACAUCAACCAUCUCAACAAAAAAUCUAAACUCAACAAAAUAAUCAAGCCAAUCUAUUUAUAGAUGAACUACUACUAGAAUGAGUAAUAAGGACACAUCCUCUACAAUACAAAUGUAAAUCAGAACGAAAAACCACUGAUAAUUAAUGAAUAUAUUUAUCAAAACAAGAACCUAAUAACUAAAAUCAUUAACCCAACACAGGAGUAUUCAAGAAAGACUUAAAACUUAGAAAGGAACUCGGCAAACC